rnacentral:sRNA from 1 species
UAUGAAAUUUGAAAUAUGAAGGUUGAAAAUAGAUUAUGAAUAUUUUGAUUUCAUAAAUUUACAGAUCCUUACAUACAUGAUUUUGUUGCACAGAAAAAAAUGAAACUGUUGUAAUUGAACUGCAAGUUCACCAAAAUAAUGGACAUGUUAUGUACACUGAAUUUUGAAUGCAAAUGAUUGCUCUAUUAAUAAAUUUGAAAUGAUUAAUUGUUUAAACUUUCAAAAUUGAACUAAUGUUUACACCCUGGUCCAUAAAUUAUAAAUGAAAUCUAUUUGAAAUUAGUUUUGAUGAUUAGUAAAGUUUGUUCAUGAACUU